GACGAACGCUGGCGGCGUGCCUAAUACAUGCAAGUCGAGCGAACUGAUUAGAAGCUUGCUUCUAUGACGUUAGCGGCGGACGGGUGAGUAACACGUGGGCAACCUGCCUGUAAGACUGGGAUAACUUCGGGAAACCGAAGCUAAUACCGGAUAGGAUCUUCUCCUUCAUGGGAGAUGAUUGAAAGAUGGUUUCGGCUAUCACUUACAGAUGGGCCCGCGGUGCAUUAGCUAGUUGGUGAGGUAACGGCUCACCAAGGCAACGAUGCAUAGCCGACCUGAGAGGGUGAUCGGCCACACUGGGACUGAGACACGGCCCAGACUCCUACGGGAGGCAGCAGUAGGGAAUCUUCCGCAAUGGACGAAAGUCUGACGGAGCAACGCCGCGUGAGUGAUGAAGGCUUUCGGGUCGUAAAACUCUGUUGUUAGGGAAGAACAAGUACGAGAGUAACUGCUGGCACCUUGACGGUACCUGACCAGAAAGCCACGGCUAACUACGUGCCAGCAGCCGCGGUAACAC
rnacentral:rRNA from 1 species